GAUGAACGCUGGCUACAGGCUUAACACAUGCAAGUCGAGGGGAAACGCCGGGGAAGCUUGCUUCCCCGGGCGUCGACCGGCGCACGGGUGAGUAACGCGUAUCCAACCUGCCUCUGACUGAGGGAUAACCCGUCGAAAGUCGGCCUAAUACCUCAUGGCAUCGUCUGCGGGCAUCCAACGACGAUUAAGAUUUCAUCGGUCAGGGAUGGGGAUGCGUCUGAUUAGCUUGUUGGCGGGGUAACGGCCCACCAAGGCUACGAUCAGUAGGGGUUCUGAGAGGAAGGUCCCCCACAUUGGAACUGAGACACGGUCCAAACUCCUACGGGAGGCAGCAGUGAGGAAUAUUGGUCAAUGGGCGGGAGCCUGAACCAGCCAAGUAGCGUGCAGGAUGACGGCCCUAUGGGUUGUAAACUGCUUUUAUGCGGGGAUAAAGUGAGGGACGUGUCCUUCAUUGCAGGUACCGCAUGAAUAAGGACCGGCUAAUUCCGUG
rnacentral:rRNA from 1 species